UACGAGUGCCUCAAGCGUUUAUCCGGAAUCAUUGGGCGUAAAGGAUGUGUAGGUUGUCGAGUUAGUCUCUCGUUAAAUUCUUCGGCUUAACCGGGGGGUCUGCGAGGGAAACGGCUCGACUAGAGGAUGCAAGGGGUCUGUGGAACUCAUAGUGUAGCGGUGAAAUGCGUUGAUAUUAUGGGGGAACACCAAAAGCGAAGGCAGCAGACGUGGGGCAUUCCUGACACUGAAACAUGAAAGCGUGGGUAGCGAAUGGG
rnacentral:rRNA from 1 species